AAUAAUAGGCUGAAACAAAUGGCUGGAGUUAUUUUAUACCGAAUGAGCUCAGAAAUACACAUUGCCACACAGGCAAGUCAAAAUAAUUCCACACAGGCAAGUCAAAUGAUGCCACACAGGCAACCAAAAUAAUGCCACACAGACAAAUCACACAUUGGACCGCGAAUCUAAAUGUAUGCAAAUCGGAUAGGUGUGUUUGGCACAACAUCACAAAUCCGUAGAACAGAAAACUAGGGUUAACCCAUACGCCU
rnacentral:lncRNA from 1 species